GUUAGUGACUUAGAGAAAUGUCUUGUGGCAGCAAAGAUUGGCUUGAUUGGAGAAAAAUUGGUAACAUGUAAGCCAAAAAACCCAUGGGUGCAUGAAGGACUCAAAGUGGAAAAGGAAAACGGAAGUGCAAAGAUAAGGUUAGAGAACUGUGGUGGCGUGCUGGAGUAAAUAACGAGUGACUAACCAGCGAAAAAUGUUAGAGACACCUUCGAACAAAUAGCGACUUAAUAUCUUGUUGUUGCCAGGUUUCUUGAGUUAAAGGUGUUUGUAUCCUAGGACGAGGUGCUCCUUCCUAUACAUUGCUCGGUAGGUUUAACGUGACACUAAGUGUUAUUAAUUGUGUCCAGAGUCACUCUGCUAACUAUCGAGGUCUAAUUAUGUGUAUAUGAAUAUUGAA